rnacentral:lncRNA from 1 species
UUCAUAAUUUACUGAGUUUUCAUUGCACAGCUAUUAAUGAAAAUUCCAUGUAACAACCUGGCAGCUAUUUUUCAAUGAGUGUUUUUUUGUUCUUUUAGGAGGCAACGCCCUUGCAUUUUAUGAAGGGAAUAUAUGAGACCUUCUGUUCCCAGAAUACAAGCUGACUCCUGCAUGUCCUGGUGUGGAUAGGGAAUUACUGAUGAAAACUUCUCCUCAUUUUCCAGGAAAUUGCACCAAAAAUAGAGUUCUCUGCAAGAACAACCAUUACAGAACUUCCAUUCAGUGCAGAAGAAAGAAUUAUGUAAGUAUUUAUGGUAAGGAUGCAGACCUGAUUACAAUUUUAUAACCUUUGGCUGGGUCUAUUUGAGUCUAGCUUUACUGUUGCCUUUGUAUCUAGGUACCUUAGGCAACAAUGGUAGGUCAGAUUAAAGGCCAUGCUAGGGGUCCUAGAUUUUGUUGUAACAACAGCAAAUCUGACUGACUGAGCCAAAGCCAUCCAUUCCUCAGUCUGCUAUCCCAGAUGCUCUCCUUUCCUAUUAUUAAGAAAUUCAUUCCAGGUAAAGCCCACAAAAAUAAAUAAUCGUUGCAUUGCUUUCUACUGAAGAUA